GGCGUGUUCGUCCUCGGCGUGAUCGUUCUCUGGGCCGCGCGUUGUUCAACAUUGCUCAUGUAAUCGUGCGUGCGUUGCUUGUAGGUUCUGUGUUACUUGGCGGAAAGCCGUGAGUAGUGGCGGUGCGGCAAUGCGGCUUUGGCCUCGAUGAGCUCUGGCACUACAGCAUCUGCGUUGUGUGACCCGUGCUUUCUUGAGAACCCGGCGGUCGUGACAAUUGAAAUAUCGAAGUGGCCUAGCGCCUCGGCAGCGAAGUUCUGCGAACCGCGAUGUGGCGUCGCCGUGUCCGACUUUGCUUAACGGACAUCGAGGCAUGUGCUGCUCGCUGCAAGUCAUGUAAAUGCAACUGCGUCGACCGCCCACUGUUCAGCGCUGAAUGUGUGUUUGGUGUGCUGUGCUUGAAACGAUUGAUGCAGCCGUGCAGCGGGGGUGGCGGAGGAGCAGAGUGGCUUACGGGCUCCGUUUGCGCGUUCACAAACAUGUGCUCCCGUCUUGGUCUCAUUAGCGGCUGUCGCGGGACUGUGGUGUGCUAGCUCCUUGCCUAGUAUGAAGUUUACGACGCUAACACACAGCCUGUUCACGUUUUUCCGCGCUAUAUGUCAUUUGCAUGACGGCCGAGUUGAAAACGAGACAUAUAGUGUUCUUUGCGUUUGUGUGUUGUAAAUUACUUUCUUUUGUGGAAGUUCUGGGAGUCUUAUUACGCAAGGAGUGCGAACGUAAACAUAAACACAUAUGUGUGUAAAAUUUUGAAUUACCCAUAAUACCCUUUACGACCCUUACGCAUAGUCUCACGGACUACAAGCCAUCCUCUACAAGAACAAGGCUGUUCGUACCGUAGACUGUUGUGUGUACGGCAUUUUUCGCGGACUGUGUAACGAAGUCGGCAUUACCAGCUUAAGAUUGCAAGAUGGAGAAAAGGUUUCUGUCCACUUUGUCAUGACCUGCACCUGUUCACCACCAGCUCCUGCUGUGCAGUAUUCUACUCUUGAGCAGUCAUCUGUCUCUCUUUUCCAGGGAUUCCGUAUACUGCAAGGUCAGCAUCAAAGAUCUCCUGCGCCAGAUGGGACACGCUCUUCAGCGUGAAUGCCAGUGAGAUCACCGAUAUACGCCUGCUGUCCUGUA